AGAGUUUGAUCCUGGCUCAGGAUGAACGCUAGCUACAGGCUUAACACAUGCAAGUCGAGGGGCAGCAUGGAAGUUUGCUUGCAAACUUUUGAUGGCGACCGGCGCACGGGUGAGUAACACGUAUCCAACCUGCCUCAUACUCGGGGAUAGCCUUUCGAAAGAAAGAUUAAUACCCGAUGUCAUAGUCCUACCGCAUGAUGGGAUUAUUAAAGAAUUUCGGUAUGGGAUGGGGAUGCGUUCCAUUAGUUAGUUGGCGGGGUAACGGCCCACCAAGACAACGAUGGAUAGGGGUUCUGAGAGGAAGGUCCCCCACAUUGGAACUGAGACACGGUCCAAACUCCUACGGGAGGCAGCAGUGAGGAAUAUUGGUCAAUGGACGAGAGUCUGAACCAGCCAAGUAGCGUGAAGGAUGACUGCCCUAUGGGUUGUAAACUUCUUUUAUAUGGGAAUAAAAUGUUCCACGUGUGGGAUUUUGUAUGUACCAUAUGAAUAAGGAUCGGCUAACUCCGUGCCAGCAGCCGCGGUAAUACGGAGGAUCCGAGCGUUAUCCGGAUUUAUUGGGUUUAAAGGGAGCGUAGGUGGAUUGUUAAGUCAGUUGUGAAAGUUUGCGGCUCAACCGUAAAAUUGCAGUUGAAACUGGCAGUCUUGAGUACAGUAGAGGUGGGCGGAAUUCGUGGUGUAGCGGUGAAAUGCUUAGAUAUCACGAAGAACUCCGAUUGCGAAGGCAGCUCACUGGACUGCAACUGACACUGAGGCUCGAAAGUGUGGGUAUCAAACAGGAUUAGAUACCCUGGUAGUCCACACAGUAAACGAUGA
rnacentral:rRNA from 1 species